UACGUAGGGUGCAAGCGUUAAUCGGAAUUACUGGGCGUAAAGCGUGCGCAGGCGGUUCGCUAAGACAGAUGUGAAAUCCCCGGGCUUAACCUGGGAACUGCAUUUGUGACUGGCGGGCUAGAGUAUGGCAGAGGGGGGUAGAAUUCCACGUGUAGCAGUGAAAUGCGUAGAGAUGUGGAGGAAUACCAGAGGCGAAGGCGCCUUGCCAGGUCUAGACUGACACUCAGACGCGAAAGCAUGGGGAGCGAACGGG
rnacentral:rRNA from 1 species